GUCUAUAGGGAAGGCUGUAGGUUUGUUUUUGGGUUUUGUUUUCUACUUUCAGUAGCAUCCAGAGUGAGUUACUUCCCUUCCAAGAAAAGCCAUUCAUUCACCAUCCGAUUUAGUGGCUGCAUGUGACACCACAUGGCCCCAUCUCAUUACAAAUGGAGCCAUGCUACAAUCACCUGGCUGUGUCCUUAACUGACUCGGCUCCACUCCCGCCAGGCCCUGGGCCACUCCACCAGCGUACUACAGUUUAAUUGUUUCCCCUUAAAAUACAGAUGUGGAGGAGGCCACUCAGCUUAUAGGACCCUUUAAGGUGGCCUCCCUAGGGCUGGGUGGCCUCACUGCAGCUUCUCCUGGGCUGUCUUUCUCCAGGAUGAGUGGGGCCAGACCAGCAGGGAAUGGUUCAUGCCCUAGGGGAGGAGCGGAAUGGGGACUAGGACCAGGGUUUCCUGAAACCACUGACUCAGAGAGUGGAUUAGAGCCUGGGAGGGCCCAGGAGAGAUGGCAGUCUGCUUCAGCAUUCUCAUCAGUACACAUUUUUUUUUUUUGAAUCUUGUUAAUAGUCAUCGGCUCCCAAUGCCAGCUUUAAUCUUUCUUCUCAUCCUCUGGAUCAGUGGCUCUGAAACCUUAGCGUGCAUCAGAAUCAGAGAGCUCCUUAAAACACAGGUGCCAGAUACCACCCCGGUUUCUGGUUCAGCAGGUCUUGGGUGGGGUCCAGGAAUUUGUAUUUACCAUUUGAUCCCAGGUGAUGCUACUGCCUUGGCCUAAGGACACCUUGAGAGCCUGGAUUCCAUAGGAUGGGGUGUGAACCCGCAGUAGGCCCUCCCAACUCAGCCAUUUUUCCUUCUUCAGCUCUAACCUGGGACCUCCGAGCCCCAGGCUAUUCCACGGCUGUAGAUCUAGGCUCAUGCUGGCUCCUGGACCUGGGUUACCCUUCCUAACUUCCAAUGUCUGGCUGCCUGCUGUUUCUACAUAAGAACUUCCUUUGGCUGGUUUCAAUGAAACUCAGCCCUUGGCCAUGCUAUUUCUGCCCUGUAGGCAAGGUGACUGGCUUCCAGGUGACUGGCUUCCAGCCUAUGUGUUUUCAACCUUCAGAGAGCAGGAUCUGAUCAUCUGCUUGGCAAGAUGAGCAAAAGUCUGUCCUGUGGACAAACUGGUCAGCUGUUCCUCCCUGUCCAGAUGGACAUCUGCUGCUGCUGCUGCCUGGGUGAGAGGCCACAGGGUAUCCAGCCAUCUGGGAGUUUGGAUUCCCAGAUGCCAGCAGAUGGAGACUGGAAAACGCUGGGCUGAUGAAUGGCAUUUUCCACCUGUGGUUAGAAUCCUUGGGGGAUGGCAAGUUAUGUUACUCACCGCUCACCUGGAUACUCCCUGAAGCUUCUGUUACUUUUAUAUAAUUGCCCCUUCUUGUUCUCACCUGUGGUGCUGAGUUCGGCACUGGGAACACUAUACAUGCUCACAGAUCCAGCAGCAUCAUCUCAAGGGCCUCAUCCUCAGCGCUGGCAAUGCAGGCUGAUCUCCCACAGUGGGAGUAGACAGAAAGGGCUCUGACUUGACCCCGCUGUUUCUCUACAUAUGAGUCCUGUCACAAGUGAAUCGGCUGAGCUGCCCUGGCCAAGUGCCAUUUUCACCUGCUCCCGUCCCUCCCAAAGCCCCCAAACGUAUAAUGGUUUCAUG
ensembl:lncRNA